GACGAACGCUGGCGGCGUGCUUAACACAUGCAAGUCGAACGGAAAGGCCUCUUUCGGGGGGUACUCGAGUGGCGAACGGGUGAGUAACACGUGAGUAACCUGCCCUUGACUUUGGGAUAACUUCAGGUAACUGGGGCUAAUACCGGAUAGGAGCUCCUGCUGCAUGGUGGGGGUUGGAAAGUUUCGGCGGUUGGGGAUGGACUCGCGGCUUAUCAGCUUGUUGGUGGGGUAGUGGCUUACCAAGGCGUUGACGGGUAGCCGGCCUGAGAGGGGGACCGGCCACAUUGGGACUGAGAUACGGCCCAGACUCCUACGGGAGGCAGCAGUGGGGAAUAUUGCACAAUGGGUGGAAGCCUGAUGCAGCAACGCCGUGUGCGGGGUGACGGCCUUCGGGUUGUAAACCGCUUUCGCUCAUGACGAAGCUUUGUGUGACGGUAGUGGGUAAAGAAGCACCGGCUAACUACGUG
rnacentral:rRNA from 1 species